rnacentral:rRNA from 1 species
AUAUUACACGAAGCUAAAGGAGCUAGUUUUUAAUUUAUUAGAUACAGAGGUGUUGCAUAACUUUUAAGAUUUAAAAUUAGGAGUGAUAGGCUUUACACAUUUAGUGAUAACUUGAUUACUAAUAAAGGUAUUAGUACAGAAACAUUUUGGAAAUGAUAAGGUUUUCAAAUAGAAUUAAUUAGAAUGGGAGAAUAUAUAUAUAUAGUUUAAUCACUAAUGUAAUAAUAUAAUAUAAUUACACUUUAUAAAUUAUUUAACUUACUAGUAAAUGUUUAAAUUGUCAAGGCCAAAUAUAAUGUUAAUAUUAGUAUCAAUUAAAUAUUAUUAAUGAACUCGGCAAGAAGUCCUUUAACUGUUUAUCAAAAACAUAGCCGUAUGUAUAAAUAUACGGUGAUUUCUGCUCCAUGAAGUUUAAAUAGCCGCAGUACCCUGACUGUGCAAAGGUAGCGCAAUCAAUUGGCUUUUAAUUGAAGUCCUGUAUGAAAGAAAAUAUAAGGGGCUACUUUAUCUAUAAUAAUUUUUGAAUUUCCUAAUUAAGUGCAAAUACUUAUAUUUAAAUAAUAGACGAGAAGACCCUAGAAAUUUUAAGAAUAAUUCUUUUUGUUGGGGCAACAAAGUAGUAAAAUAUAAUCUACUAUUGUUACAUGAAAGAUAUAACUUGGAAGAUUAAAUUACUCUACGGAUAACAACAUAAUCAAUGAAAGUUUGUGACCUCGAUGUU